rnacentral:rRNA from 1 species
UGCCAGCAGCCGCGGUAAUACGAAGGGUGCAAGCGUUAUUCGGAUUUACUGGGCGUAAAGCGCGCGCAGGCGGAUUGAUAAGUCAGAUGUGAAAUCUCGGAGCUCAACUCCGAAACUGCGUCUGAAACUAUUAAUCUAGAGUAUUGGAGGGGGAAGUGGAAUUUCGCAUGUAGGGGUAAAAUCCGUAGAGAUGCGAAGGAACACCAGUGGCGAAGGCGACUUCCUGGACAAUAACUGACGCUGAGGCGCGAAAGCGUGGGGAGCAAACAGGAUUAGAUA